GGCCUACCAAGGCGACGAUCAGUAGCCGACCUGAGAGGGUGACCGGCCACAUUGGGACUGAGACACGGCCCAAACUCCUACGGGAGGCAGCAUG
rnacentral:rRNA from 1 species